GUUGAACGCUGGCGGCAGGCCCUAAACACAUGCAAGUCGAGCGAGAACGGUCCUUCGGACUCAGUAGAGCGGCGGACGGGUGAGUAACGCGUGGGAAUCUGCCCAGUAGUGGGGGACAACAGUUGGAAACGACUGCUAAUACCGCAUACGCCCUACGGGGGAAAGAGGGGAUCUUCGGACCUUUCGCUAUUGGAUGAGCCCGCGUCAGAUUAGCUAGUUGGU
rnacentral:rRNA from 1 species